GACGUAGGGCGCGAGCGUUGUCCGGAUUUAUUGGGCGUAAAGAGCUCGUAGGCGGCUUGUCGCGUCAACUGUGAAAACCAGUGGCUCAACCAUGUGGUCUGCAGUCGAUACGGGCAGGCUAGAAUUCGGUAGGGGAGACUGGAAUUCCUGGUGUAGCGGUGAAAUGCGCAGAUAUCAGGAGGAAAACCGGUGGCGAAGGCGGGUCUCUGGGCCGAUAUUGACGCUGAGGAGCGAAAGCGUGGGGAGCGAACAGG
rnacentral:rRNA from 1 species